rnacentral:rRNA from 1 species
AGAGUUUGAUUCUGGCUCAGGAUGAACGCUGGCGGCGUGCCUAACACAUGCAAGUCGAACGAAGCAUCCCUUCCGAUGAAUGGACCAGCUUGCUGGGAAAGGAAUCAAUUGGGAUGACUGAGUGGCGGACGGGUGAGUAACGCGUGGGUAACCUGCCCCAUAGAGGGGGACAACAGCUGGAAACGGCUGCUAAUACCGCAUAGCAGGAAGGAGACGCAUGUCUUUUUCUUCAAAGAUUUAUCGCUAUGGGAUGGACCCGCGUCUGAUUAGCUAGUUGGUAAGGUAACGGCCUACCAAGGCGACGAUCAGUAGCCGGCUUGAGAGAGUGGACGGCCACAUUGGGACUGAGACACGGCCCAGACUCCUACGGGAGGCAGCAGUGGGGAAUAUUGCACAAUGGGGGAAACCCUGAUGCAGCGACGCCGCGUGAGUGAAGAAGUAUUUCGGUAUGUAAAGCUCUAUCAGCAGGGAAGAUAAUGACGGUACCUGACUAAGAAGCCCCGGCUAACUACGUGCCAGCAGCCGCGGUAAUACGUAGGGGGCAAGCGUUAUCCGGAUUUACUGGGUGUAAAGGGUGCGUAGGUGGCAGGGCAAGUCAGAUGUGAAAGCCCGGGGCUCAACCCCGGUACUGCAUUUGAAACUGUCCAGCUGGAGUGCAGGAGAGGUAAGCGGAAUUCCUAGUGUAGCGGUGAAAUGCGUAGAUAUUAGGAGGAACACCAGUGGCGAAGGCGGCUUACUGGACUGUAACUGACACUGAGGCACGAAAGCGUGGGGAGCAAACAGGAUUAGAUACCCUGGUAGUCCAUGCCGUAAACGACGAGUGCUAAGUGUUGGGAGGGGUCCGCGAUAUCAGUAAGCGAGCAGAAGCAUAAAGCGCUCCGCCGGGGGAGUGCGACGGCAAGGGUGAAAAUCGAAGGGAAUAGACGGGGGCCCGCACGAACGGAGGAGCAUGUGGUUUAAUUCGAAGCAACGCGAAGAACCUAACGAGGUCUUGACAUCCAGUGCGAGCGUGGGAGGAUUAGGUGUUCCCUUCGGGGACGCUGAAACAGAUGGUGCAUGGCUGUAGUCAGCUCGUGUCGUGAGGUGUUGGGUUAAGUCCAGCAGACGAGCACAACCCGUGUAAUUAGUUGCCAUCAUAAAGUAGGGCACUCUGAGAAGACUGCCGGUGACAAACCGGAGGAAGGUGGGGAUGACGGCAAGUCAUCAUGCCCCUUAUGACCUGGGCUACACACGUGCUACAAUGGACGGUACAACGAGAAGAGAGCCUGCGAAGGCAAGCGGAUCUCUUAAAGCCGUUCUCAGUUCGAAAUGUAGGCUGCAACUCGCCUACACGAAGCUGGGGUCGCUAGUGGUCGC